GACGAACGCUGGCGGCGUGCCUAAUACAUGCAAGUAGAACGCAGUUGCGAACGGGUGAGUAACGCGUAGGUAACUGCCUGGUAGCGGGGGAUAACUAUUGGAAACGAUAGCUAAUACCGCAUACUACCAGAUGGACCUGCGUUGUAUUAGCUAGUUGGUGGGGUAACGGCUCACCAAGGCAACGAUACAUAGCCGGGCUGAGAGGGUGAACGGCCACAAUGGGACUGGGACACGGCCCAGACUCCUACGGGAGGCAGCAGUAGGGGAUCUGCGGCAAUGGGGGGAACCCUGAACGAGCAACGCCGCGUGAGUGAAGAAGGUUUUCGGAUCGUAAAGCUCUGUUAUUAAGGAAGCGGUAAUGAACCAGAAAGAGACGGCUAACUACGUGCCAGCAGCCGCGGUAAUAC
rnacentral:rRNA from 1 species